GCCUAGCUUGCUAGGUGGAUUAGUGGCGCACGGGUGAGUAAUAUAUAGAUAACGUGCCUCUUAGUCUGGGAUAGCCAUUGGAAACGAUGAUUAAUACUAGAUAUUCCUUCUAACAAUAAUGUUAGUCGGGAAAGUUUUUCGCUAAGAGAUCGGUCUAUAUCCCAUCAGCUAGUUGGUAGUGUAAGAGACUACCAAGGCAAUGACGGGUAGCGGGUUUGAGAGGAUGAUCCGCCACACUGGUACUGAGACACGGACCAGACUCCUACGGGAGGCAGCAGUGAGGAAUAUUGCACAAUGGAGGAAACUCUGAUGCAGCAACGCCGCGUGGAGGAUGACGCAUUUCGGUGUGUAAACUCCUUUUAUAUGUCAAGAAAAUGACGGUAGCAUAUGAAUAAGCACCGGCUAACUCCGUGCCAGCAGCCGCGGUAAUACGGAGGGUGCAAGCGUUAUUCGGAAUCACUGGGCGUAAAGGACGCGUAGGCGGGAUGC
rnacentral:rRNA from 1 species